AUACGUAGGGGACGAGCGUUGUCCGGAAUUACUGGGCGUAAAGGGCGCGCAGGCGGAUAUUUAAGUCAGCUGUAAAAGGCAUGAGCUCAACUCAUGUAUGCGGUUGAAACUGGGUAUCUAGAGUGCUGGAGAGGUAGGCGGAAUUUCCGGUGUAGCGGUGAAAUGCGUAGAUAUCGGGAAGAACACCAGUGGCGAAGGCGGCUUACUGGCCAGCAACUGACGCUGAGGCGCGAAAGCCAGGGGAGCGAACGGGAUUAGAUACCCCGGUAGUCCUGGCCGUAAACGAUGAAUGCUAGGUGUGGGUGUCGAGAGGCAUCCGUGCCGGAGUUAACGCGAUAAGCAUUCCGCCUGGGGAGUACGAUCGCAAGAUUGAAACUCAAAGGAAUUGACGGGG
rnacentral:rRNA from 1 species